rnacentral:lncRNA from 1 species
CUUAUACAUCCAAAAUCCAUUAACCCAAAAUUCCCAAAAUCCAAACUUUAAUCUAGGGCUUGCUCGUCGCCUCGUCCGGUCUGUGUCGUCUGCCGUCGCCAACUCUCCGUCUGCGCGCAGUGAAGAGAAAUUGAAGACAGCUCUGGUCCUGACUCUUGAAAGCCUGAAGCUACCGAAGAAGCAAAAUGAGAAUUGAGAAGCCAACGUGCACAGGUGAGGAAAUUAUACUUCGAGAAGCUGAAUGAGUGAUUAACAUUGGAGUAGAUUUAAUGAGUGAUUUUGAGUUCUUUUACAAUGAGCUGAAUAAGUGAUUUCGAGAAGCCGUCUGCUGUUCUUUUACAAUGAGAGUUGAAUGAGUGAUUUUGAGGGUCGUCUACUGUUUGAUGAAUUGUCUGAAAGAUCAAAUUUUAGAUUAACAUUGGAGUAGAUGUUAUUGUCUUUUUCCAUUCGAGGUUUGUAUGUGUCUAUUUUAUCCUUGGAGUGAAUUUUUGUUAUCCUCGAAGAAGAGUAUUUUUUCCUCGCUAAAUUCUCCCAGUAAUUUCUUAAAAUUUCUUGUUCACUGUAACUUGAUCGAUAUUUAUGGAAAACAGAAAGAUGACAGUUGUUUCAUGUAAUUGUCAAUUAAAUUUAGACAUCAAACUGAAUCUUGAAAUUCUCUGAACUGGAAAGUGCAAUUAAUUAGGGAAAUGUUCAAUUUGAUAAGAAAAACAAUCUGAAAGUAUUGGAUGAAUAAAGUUGGGUUAAAUAGAUAUCAUGAUUUGAAUAGCUUCCCAAGUUUGACCUGGCUUGCAGCAUGUUUGAGUUGAUACAGGAUGCUGUCAAAGGUUUACACUUGUACUGUGUGUAGUCCCAUGGGGUAAAGUUAGUUGUGACAUUCAUUAUGAGUUUUGUCCCAUCGUAUUUUGUCCUCCGAAAAUUCCCCUGCCUAUCUCCUUUAUGAUCACCAGGUAGUUGUAGUCUCUUGGAAAUGGCUAGUUUCCUUCAUUAUUGGGGAAGACUGGAUAUUGUCUUUGGAAUUGUUUAGUAUGUAAUUUAAGUAACUCUGUUGAAUCCUUCAUUUUCUUUUGUUAAUUGUCAUCUCUUGGAGAUGGCUAGUUUUACCAUCACUUGAUUAUGAGUUUGAUCAAAGAAUGAAUAUGACUAAAGAAUAGAGGGUGUAUUGAAAGUAUAAGAAUCCAUAAAUACAUCUCUUCAUGUUAUCAGUAGUGUUUUUAGACUAGGCAAUUUGACAGAAAAUAUAGCUUCAAUGGGUUAAAGAAAUAGCAAUAGUAUCGACCAAACAUUAAUCCCAUCUAAUUUAGCAUACAUCCAACUUAUCAUUCAGUUAUGUACAUCUCAUGGACAUUUUAUUCUAGAAUGCCAUUAUCCAUGUUGUACAACCCUCUUCAGUCUUUAUUAAUAUAAAUUGCAUCAGUACAUAAUUAUCUAUAAACACUCGUGAAUCAUGAUUUCCUUUCCUAUAUGUAUUCUGUAAUGUGAUAAUACCUCUUUUUUCAUAAACUGUUCCACUAACCCCAUGAUUCCCAACACUUCCUCAGAAUCUGCAUCAUAUUUUUUCCUAAGUUCAAUCUUGCCAGCCUCACAAAUUCACAAUAAGAUGAUAAAAUCAAUCAUUUAUUAAUUAGCAAAUGUACACAGUAUCUAUUAACACAAAACCUGAAUUAGGAAUUGGACUUUGGACAAGUGAAGAUUAUGCAUCUCAUGUCUUAAAACGCCAAAAUUGAAUUUGAAAUUGGACAUAGGAGAGUCAGAAGACAGAAGUGCAAAAGCUGCAUCAUAUUUUCCCCCAGGUUCAAUCUUGCUUGUAUUACAAAUUCACAAUCAGAUGAUAAAAUUAAUCAUUAAUUAAUUAACAAACGCAUCCAGUGUCUCAUAACACAAAAAUUGAAUUUAAAAUUGGACAAAGGAGAAGAUUAUGCAUCCAAUGUCGCAUGACACAAACAUUUUAUGUUAAUCAACACUCACUUUAGUGUAUUGCACCCCCACCACUAAUCAACCUCAACUUCCCCUUAAUUCCUCCAGGCAAUUUGUUUAGGUUGAUAACAUGAAAACACACCUUAAAGAGGGUUGUUUUUAUAAAAUCCUCUUACACUUUCGGGGAUAAUGCAAGCUGGUUUUAUAGGUCCUAAAACAAUUAACUUGGAAACAAAAUAUGUAGAAGCCCUCAGACGAAGGCCAUAUAUCAAGUAAUUGAUUGACAACUACUUUUUUUCCAUAUGAAGUACAUUCCCCAAUCCCCCCAACUCUUUACAUUCCGAAGUGAAGUACUUUAACUCAAAUCUCUUCUAAACUAAAAAAUGAUAGUUGUGACCUAAAUAUCUUGUAAUUAAUAACAAUAAUUCUCAUUAAUGUAGGCAUGUGCAUCUUUCAUUCUAUGUUCUUUUGUUUAUUUAUUUUUGGAUUCUUAGCUGAAUAUUGAGUUAUAUAAAUGCUACGCAGGGAAGAGCCUACUCAGCCAAUCUACUUCAAAAUAAGCAAGCUUCCAAGAGUUCUAAAAGACGAAGCGCUGCGAUUGCUGUUGCAAUUCGAGAGACAAAUAAAAGACUACGACAAUUAAAUGACAUUUUAUUGUUUCUCAUUCGCUUGCCCCUUUUUGAUUAAUUUUUUGUUAUAUUCUUUCUUUGUUGCAGUUACAUGGAGCUAAAAUGAGUUCGAAAAUAUCUUUUUUGUUUUUAGAGCACCUCGUCUAUGUAAAAAGAUUUAGCUGAGACUCGUUAGAAGGGGUUAUGAAUUGUUUACAGAACUUUUGGAUAUUUUUCAAAGUUAUUUGGUUAGAUGGUGUAUAAUUUAUGAAUUGGAG